GGAGAGGUGUCCGAGAGGCCGAAGGAGCACGGUUGGAAACCGUGUGUAGCGCAAGUUACCGGGGGUUCGAAUCCCCCCUUCUCCG
rnacentral:tRNA from 1 species